GUCGGAGGAACCCAUAAAAAGCUAAAUAUAUAGCUGUCUUUAUUACGGUAUUAGUUAUAGGUUUGAAAGGAUUAGUGAAUGGAAUAUGUUGUUGUCUAUGGGUAGUCUUUGUGAGGGGACGUGUGCAUCCAAUUUUUUAAUGCCUUUAAGUACUGUCUUAAUUUAAUAUGAGGUCAGGAAACCUGUAGCGUUGGGUUGUUGGAUAAGCAUGUGGUGUUGAAUGCCCGUAAGGUACAGUUUAAUAGUGUUGAAUGAUAAUUUAAGGUUGAUGUGGCAAAAAGAAGUGAA